rnacentral:rRNA from 1 species
CUACGGGCCGCACCAGUAGGGAAUAUUGCGCAAUGGGCGAAAGCUUGACGCAGCCAUGCCGCGUGGAUGAUGAAGGCCUUCGGGUCGUAAAGUCCUUUUCUGAGGGAAGAACAACCCGGGGAGGAAAUGCUCCGGGCCUGACGGUACCUUAGGAAUAAGCAACGGCUAACUCCGUGCCAGCAGCCGCGGUAAUACGGAGGUUGCAAGCGUUGUUCGGAAUUACUGGGCGUAAAGGGAGCGCAGGCGGUUGGGUCAGUCUGAAGUGAAAUCCCGGGGCUUAACCCCGGACGGGCUUUGGAUACUGCCUAACUUGAGUACGUGAGAGGAGAGUGGAAUUCCAGGUGUAGCGGUGAAAUGCGUAGAUAUCUGGAGGAACACCAGUGGCGAAAGCGACUCUCUGGCACGCUACUGACGCUGAUGCUCGAAAGCGUGGGGAGCGAACGGGAUUAGAUACCCCAGUAGUC